rnacentral:rRNA from 1 species
UGCGCAGGCGGAAUAAUUAGUCAGUGGUGAAAUCUCCCGGCUCAACCGGGAAACUGCCAUUGAUACUGUUAUUCUUGAGUAUAGUUGUAGUGGGCGGAAUAUAGCAUGUAGCGGUGAAAUGCUUAGAUAUGCUAUAGAACACCGAUCGCGAAGGCAGCUCACUAAACUAUAACUGACGCUCAGGCACGAAAGCGUGGGGAGCGAACAGGAUUAGAUACCCUGGUAGUCC